rnacentral:rRNA from 1 species
ACAUGUCUUUUAGAAAGAUAAUUUAAAGUYCAAUYUGCUCCAUGAUUAAAUUAAAUAGCUGCAGUAUUUUGACUGUACAAAGGUAGCAUAAUCAAUAGUUUUUUAAUUAAAAGCUGGAAUGAAUGAUUUGAUAAGGUAAAUAUUGUYUCAAUUUUAUUAGGAUUAUAAUUUUUUUUUUAGUAAAAAUACUAAAUUGAAUUUAAAAGACGAGAAGACCCUAUAGAUUUUGAUAUUUUUAAUUUAAUUGAUUUAAAUUUAAAAAUUAUAAUUAUAGUAAAAAGUAUUUGGUUGGGGAAAUUAUUAAAUUUGUAAAAUUUUAAUUUUUAUGAAACAAAAAUUAUUGAAUAUUUGAUCUUAAAUUUUAAAUUGUAAGAAUAAAAUACCUUAGGGAUAACAGCGUAAUUUUUUUGAAGAGAUCAUAUUGAUAAAAAAGUUUGCGACCUCGAUGUUGAAUUAAGAUAAAAUUUUAAUGGAGAAAUUAAAAAUUUUUGGUCUGUUCGACCAUUAAAAUCUUACG